UAUCAUUCCACCUCAUUUAUGGAUCAAUGGAGCCCAUAUUUUAAAGUACUGAUUUUAUUCUGCUAAUUAGAAAAUGACAUCCACUGUUACUUGAGCCUGUGUGCUCUAUCUACAUGAGGCUGUGUUCCCUUCAGAUUACAGAGUUACUGGAAACACUGUGUUAUGUUACUGCUGUGGCCUUCGCAGCUUCCGAGAGCUGACCUAUCAGUAUCGGCAGAACAUUCCUGCUUCUGAGUUGCCAGUGGCUGUAACAUCCCGUCCUGACUGCUACUGGGGCCGCAACUGCCGCACUCAGGUGAAGGCUCACCAUGCAAUGAAAUUCAAUCACAUCUGUGAACAGACGAGGUUCAAGAACUGAUCAUCUGAACUGAGCAUUGGGGAGACAUGCAGACAGCUGUUGAGCCCUGGAGACAGUGAUACCAUGUGUAAAACACUUUUUAAGGGCAUUUCUGUAGUUUCCCCUAAGUGGUACUGGGGUGUCUGGCCAAGGCACUAUGAUGUGACUUUUUCUUUUGUGGUUUUUACCCCAAGGUGAGACUCCUUGGCCAACUGAAAACUUCCUGUCAGCUCUCCCCUCCUGCAGGGACAAUGACAGUGCAGAUUUGUGCUUUUGUACCUUUCCCACAACUACAGUUGAACUGGGAAUCUCUUUUCAGGAAAAGAUUGAUGGGAGAAAGGAGGAGGCUUAUCAGAGCAUACUGUUUAAGCAAAGGGAGCUUAAGUUUACAGCCUGUAUGAUGUACAGAUUAUUCUGCUGUUGGGAUAUCGCAACCUUUUAUAUAUUUUUAUUUUAAUAGGUUUGGUGCUUCUAAUAAGAUUUAAAUAUCACAAACUAGCACAAAUAAUAUAAUUUAUAAUUUACAAAUUGCAAUUGGUGAUAGUAUAAUAUUUGAAAAAAUGAACAUGUUUUUAUUAAAAAAAAAUCAUUUGUACAAAACUGCUAACCCUGGAUGUGGAUGUCAAGUUAGCAGCUUCUUGCUGAGUGUGUGAGUGGAGUUUUAGCUCCCUAGCACAGGGCUGGCCCUGCUUCUGGUGGAAAAGCCCCCUGGUUAGACCCCCACCCACAGAGCUCUUGAUGGGGGUUGUGGAGGCUUGCCUGCCCCCUCCCCUCCCUUUCUUGCUACAUUAGGUUUGCCAUGUCAUCCGGAAUAAUACUUGAAAAUUUGAUUUUUUUGUUAAAAAUGAAAGGGGUUCUUUUUUAUCUUUCCUUGAAAUCACCUGUUACGUUUGUCAACUUUUUUGCUUCUUCUCAGGAAUACAAUUUUCAACUGUUGUCUUGCUCUUGAUAGAAACUGAGAGGCAGCACCGUUAUUUGUGGGAGAAAGUUCUCUUUUUUGAUUCUAAUAAACAAGCUGUGUUUGUUUUUCUC